GGCGGGCUCUGCGGGAGGCAGCGGACGGUUAUUUUUGAUUUCCUCUCCUCUUUAUAAUCUGCGUUGUCGCCCGAAGCGGAGAAAAGGGGGUAAAAAAAAGGAGAAGGGGGCAAAGCAGAGAAAGCAAAGGUGCGAGUGAGAGAAUACAGCCCGAGAGGGGCACGGGGCAGCCGUCACCUCGCAGGCGCGUCUUCAGAAUUGUUCUUCUGUCUUGUGCUUUCUCAAAUUUGUUGUAAAUUGAAUACCACAGCCGCGUCUUUUCAACGCUGGAGUCGGACCUUUCGGCUGAUCAUUUUGCGAUGGACGAAGAGAAGUAUUUACCCGAGCUGAUGGCCGAAAAGGAUAGCCUGGACCCUUCAUUCGUGCACGCCAGCAGGCUGGUGACAGCAGCAGCAACUCAACUCUCCACUGGUGUCUCAUCAUGCAAAAAAAAAACAUUGCUUGACUCAAAACCAGAGAUAACCAAAAUAGAGGCAGGAGAGGGAAGUGAUGAAGAAAAGUUUGUGGAUGUGGUCAGUAACAAAAACAUGAAGCUGGCUCAAAAAGUGUUAAUUCCUGUUAAACAAUUUCCAAAGUUUAACUUUGUCGGUAAACUACUGGGACCACGUGGUAAUUCUUUGAAGCGAUUACAGGAAGAAACACUGACAAAGAUGUCCAUUUUGGGUAAAGGAUCCAUGCGGGACAAAGCAAAGGAAGAGGAAUUACGGAAGAGUGGUGAAUCUAAAUAUGCACAUCUUAACGAGGAUUUGCAUGUACUGAUCGAAGUAUUUGCGCCACCAUCGGAGGCCUAUGCUAGAAUGGGUCAUGCUUUAGACGAAGUGAAGAAAUUUCUCAUACCGGAUUACAAUGAUGAAAUUAGACAACAACAACUGCAGGAAUUAUCAUACCUGAAUGGUACACCAGAAAGUCCAGAAACUCCAGCAGUCCGGGGAAAACCAGUAAGGGGCCGUGGAGCAAUUGCACCAACUCUAACCAGAGGCCGUGGUGGAGUUCCUCCACCCGCAUCAGCAGUCCCACGAGCAGGGCCAGUUCCCAGAGGAGCACCUCCUGGUCGAGGUCCUGGAACUAGAGGACGAGGAGCUCCAGCGCCAAGAGCAAGGGGAGCACCGAGUUAUAGACCUCCACCACCUCCAGUACAAGAUUCUACAUAUGGUGAAUAUGCAUAUGGUGAUGGCUAUGGAGCAGCAUAUGAAGACCAAGGUUAUGACUCAUAUGAUAACAACUACAGCAGUCAAGGCCAAAGCGCAUCGGAUUAUUAUGAUUAUGGUCAUGGAACUGGUCAGGAGUCAUAUGAAUCGUAUGGUCAGGAAGAGUGGACGAAUUCCAACUCUCGGAUGAAAGCUCCUCCAACAAGAGCACCGAAAGGAGCGUACAGGGAGCACCCCUAUGCACCACGAUACUGAUCUCACCAUCUACUCUGUGAAAUACAAUCAUCAGUUAGCUGUUUCUGCAGUGAUGUACGCUGUUAAAAGAUCUUUUUCUCACAUCUCGGGCCAAAUGGGAAUUAAACCAUGGUCCUCGAAUUGGACACUAUGGAUAUGCUGACCUCUCAGGAGAUGACAUUGGAGUCACAUAGGAUUUGCCUUUUCAUUAUCUUUUACACAGGCAAUCAGAGGUGGCAGGUGCAUCAGUGGUGGAGGCUGCUGGAGACUGUAAGGAGACAGUAUUUUUGACUUGUCAUUGAUUAAAAUGAAGCUGAGCAACACAGCAAUCAACGGAAUGGCAAUCACACAGAAAGAAAAUCCAAAUUAACUUGUGCUUCCAUUUAUAAACUGAUUGUAAAAUUGUAAAUAUCUGUAAAUUUAUUUUUUAUUAAAAUAGUUGCGUUUUGAAUUAUUUACUCGAAUGACACCUGUCACUGCAUUCUAGCUCUUCUAUGUUUAAAUUUAUAAAAUAUUUUUAGAUGUUAUAAUGAACUUUAAAAUAUAAGUUGAUGGAAUAGAACUUGGUUUCUAUGAUAUUUUGCCUUUUUUGAAACAAAACAAAAAAUCAUGUUUAGUAUUUUAAUUAUGUACUAGUGUUUAUCUUUAAUAAUUAAAACCAAACCAAAAUUA